rnacentral:rRNA from 1 species
GAUGAACGCUGGCGGCGUGCCUAAUACAUGCAAGUCGAGCGAACGGACGAGAAGCUUGCUUUUCUGAUGUUAGCGGCGGACGGGUGAGUAACACGUGGAUAACCUACCUAUAAGACUGGGAUAACUUCGGGAAACCGGAGCUAAUACCGGAUAAUAUUUUGAACCGCAUGGUUCAAAAGUGAAAGACGGUCUUGCUGUCACUUAUAGAUGGAUCCGCGCUGCAUUAGCUAGUUGGUAAGGUAACGGCUUACCAAGGCAACGAUGCAUAGCCGACCUGAGAGGGUGAUCGGCCACACUGGAAAUGAGACACGGUCCAGACUCCUACGGGAGGCAGCAGUAGGGAAUCUUCCGCAAUGGGCGAAAGCCUGACGGAGCAACGCCGCGUGAGUGAUGAAGGUCUUCGGAUCGUAAAACUCUGUUAUUAGGGAAGAACAUAUGUGUAAGUAACUGUGCACAUCUUGACGGUACCUAAUCAGAAAGCCACGGAUAACUACGUG